CCUACGGGUGGCAGCAGUGAGGAAUAUUGGUCAAUGGGCGUAAGCCUGAACCAGCCAAGUCGCGUGAGGGAUGAAGGUUCUAUGGAUCGUAAACCUCUUUUAUAAGGGAAUAAAGUGUGGGACGUGUCCUGUUUUGUAUGUACCUUAUGAAUAAGGAUCGGCUAAGUCCGUGCCAGCAGCCGCGGUAAUACGGAGGGUCAGAGCGUUAUCCGGAUUUAUUGGGUUUAAAGGGGGCGUAGGCGGCCUUUUAAGUCAGCGGUGAAAGUGUGUGGCUCAACCAUAGAAUUGCCGUUGAAACUGGGAGGCUUGAGUGUGUUUGAGGCAGGCGGAAUGCGUGGUGUAGCGGUGAAAUGCUUAGAUAUCACGCAGAACCCCGAUUGCGAAGGCAGCCUGCCAAGCCAUGACUGACGCUGAUGCACGAAAGCGUGGGGAUCAAACAGGAUUAGAUACCCUAGUAGUC
rnacentral:rRNA from 1 species